GGAAGGUUCAGACAGGAUGUCUAGAGGAAUGUUCAGACAGGAUGUCUAGAGGAAUGUUCAGACAGGAUGUCAAGAGGAAUGUUCAGACAGGAUGUCUAGAGGAAGGUUCAGAUAGGAUGUUUUGGGAAGGUUCAGACAGGAUGUCUAGAGGAAGGUUCAGACAGGAUGUCUAGAGGAAGGUUCAGACAGGAUGUCUAGAGGAAGGUUCAGACAGGAUGUCUAGAGGAAGGUUCAGACAGGAUGUCUAGAGGAA